rnacentral:tRNA from 1 species
CGGGGUAUAGCUCAGCCUGGUAGAGCGCGUGCUUCGGGAGCCCGAGGUCGCAGGUUCAAAUCCUGCUACCCCGACCA